rnacentral:rRNA from 1 species
UACGGGGGGAGCAAGCGUUGUUCGGAAUUACUGGGCGUAAAGGGCGCGUAGGCGGCCUUCUAAGUCGGACGUGAAAUCCCUCGGCUUAACCGAGGAACUGCGUCCGAUACUGAAAGGCUUGAAUCCGGGAGAGGGAUGUGGAAUUCCAGGUGUAGCGGUGAAAUGCGUAGAUAUCCGGAGGAACACCGGUGGCGAAGGCGGCUUCCUGGACCGAUCACUGACGCUGAGGCGCGAAAGCUAGGGGAGCAAACGGG